AAAAAAAUAUUAAUAUGCGGUGAUGUAACUUGCUGAAACGUACCUUAAAAAUUGACGUAAUAAGUGAUUUUACGUAGUUUUACGUCACAUUGACUCUUUAUUACAUUUUUCACUGUAUUACUGGAACGAGAAAAAUCAUUUUUCAGUUACAUGCAUUCAACAUAAAAUUACCUAUCUAAUAACGUAUUUCAAUACAUCCUAAAUGAUGCACAUCAUGCUCUCCCAAAAUAAAAUUUAAUGUUACACCCAAAAUAGGCAAAAACAAGAAAUCAGCGUAAUAUUACACCAUAAUUAGUGAUAUCACUUCAUAAAACAUGGAACAGCAUGUCAACAAAGCAAGCUUCCCGCUAACCGUCAGUCCAAUUUUUUCUCCGUUCCACUCGCAUCGAGAAAUUGUUUUCGUGAAGUGUCAUUUGUUUAAUUCAGCAAUUGAAUUACUUUUUCGGUAUAAAUAUAGUGUUUGAAUAAAUUUGAAAACAGUGUCCGUCACGGAUUGAACAAAUCUUUCACUGGAAGUCCUUUUUGAAUGUGAACCGCAAACAAAGGAUGCAGUGGAGCGAUGAAAAAGCACAUAAUGGAGAGGAUGCGAAGAUUCUGCAGAUUCGUUCCUACCCAUGGUGAAUCGGCAUUUGAAAAUUAAAUUGAGCAGAAACAAAAUUUUCGGCGUUUCUCGGAAGUGGAAACUGUCGGGAUCAUGUCCCCUUUUCUUGAAAGCAUGCUGGAUGUUGGAGGAGGAUGCCGGUUGAGGUCCCAUCCAAGAUGAAGCUGAUAGAGCACUUUGAACGGAUCAGAGUCGAAGCAGGUGAGGCUUUCAAAGCUCCAAGGGAUGAAAAAAAAAAACUAUUUCCGUUGAUACUGAUCAGUUAAUAAUUAAUUAACAGAAGAAUAAAGGGAAUGAAUAGUGCGGCAACUAGCAGUAGAGGAGUGAAUGCCAAAUGGCUAUUUUACGCUAGUAAAAUAAUAAGUUGAUAAAAUUAGGAAAAAUAUUAGAAAUCGAAAAUAAAUACAGGAAAUUAAAUAUAAGAAAUUUCAAAUCGAACGUUAUAAAUUAAACAUGAAAAACUAAAAUUAAGAGCUGAAGAUGAAUGAUAGUCCAAUUUA